AUGAGACAACAAUUUUUCCCUCCUUACUAUCAUCGUGAAUUGCUUCGCAAAUUUGAACAAUUUAAACAAGGCAACAACACUGUUCAUGCUUACUACCAAGAGUUCAAAUCUUAUAUGCAUCAUUGUCACAUAGAAGAAUCUGAGGAUGAUACAAUGAAUAGAUUUUUUGGUGGUUUGAACCAUGAUAUUCAGGCAAGAUUUCAGUACAUUCCUCGUUGCAUUACUGGUAUGUAUGUUCUGCUUGUACCUUUGAGAGACAGAUACAGGAGGACGCAUUGGGUGACUGCAACAACUACUAUUCCAGUUCAUGCUCACCACCGCCGGUUGGUUCCUCCACCAUUGCACCUACUAGAGCAGCCCCACCUCAGAUUGUGA
rnacentral:rRNA from 1 species